CGGUAAUACGGAGGGUGCGAGCGUUAAUCGGAAUUACUGGGCGUAAAGACGCAUGCAGGUGGUUUGUUAAGUUCAGAUGUGAAAGACCCGGGGCGUCAACCUCCGGAAUUAGCAUUUGUAAACUAGGCAGACUAGAGUACUGUAGAGGGGGGUAGGAAGUUUCUAGGUGUAGCGGUGAAAUAGCGUAGAGAUCUGAAGGAAUACCGGUGGCGAAGGCGGCCCCCUCGGACAGAUACUGACACUCAGAUGCGAAAGCGUGGGGAGCAAACAGGAUUAGAUACCCUGGUAG
rnacentral:rRNA from 1 species